rnacentral:lncRNA from 1 species
CCGGGCCCGGUGGUGCCCGGUGUGUGCGAGGCAGAGAGAGGGGCUUCCUUGCUUUGUUGACCAAAUGAAACGAAUUUGGUUUACGGGUAUAAAAUAAGAGUAAUAUAAUACGAUGCUUUGCUUUGUUGUGUUGUCAUCAGAAUAUAAACAAGUGGUUUAGGUGAGGUUGUGGUGGCGGUUUGGCGAGCACCACCACCGGGCGCGGUUUGGGAACCGAAUCUUCCAUUUUUUUAAGCAAAGGAUUUGUCUGUAUUAGCGCGGCCGGCCUAGUCGAUCUGUGAGAUUCAAGGGGGGUCUGUUUGGCUCUGGGCGAUGGAGAUGGAUGGCAUCAAUGUGGUCCGGGAAAUCGUCGGGGUCUUUUGCCAGGGCAGGGCGCGCAGGUUCCCGUGACGCUGGGAUCAGGUGGCCGGGGAGCACGAGAGUGGGAGCGGGUUGGACGACGGCUUUGACACAGGCCGGCCGGCGGCGGCUAGAAUGGGCACUGUGGCAGAAAAGCAUAUGUGCAAUUAUAGGAUUGUCACGUCUUUAACGCUAACGGUGCUGUGUGACUGUGUAUCUUCGGUUCUCCGGUGGGGUCCAGGCCAGGGACCGUGAGGGACGGUCGGCGUCGAUGAAAAGCAGAAAAGGUGAAGGAAAAGGUGGUGGAGUGGACCCGCCUUUGUUCUUCCAGCUCCAGUACUGGCCCAAGGGCCCAGCUACGAGCUUGAAGAUUCGGACCGGACUUUUUUGUCCUUGUAAAGCUAGAAGAUGCACUCAUAAUUUUAGAACUUAUUAUCGGUUUUAGUUCUAUGUUUUCACUUUUUGCCGCCUCAAAGUCAAAGACCUAGACAAGAUGUUUUUUUUUUCUUUUUAACACAUCUUUUAUCAACUACUAUUGGCUCCGUUUGACAAGGUUUAUAAGACAUCUUUAUUUAACCAUUAAUUAUUUUUUAUAAAUUUGUAUAAUUUAAUAACGUGCGAAUCAUAAAUUAUAUGUGAGAGUGUUUCUCAUGGUGACUCUAAAACCAUAACAAAACCUAUGAUUUUGAUCUAUAGGAAUUCUUAGGAAUUUAUGGUCAAAUAAUAGAGCUCUAUUAAUUACACGGACAAAGUGAUGUAAUCUUGAGCAACCGUUGGGAUCUGCUCAAGUUAAGUAAGCUAAACUGAGUAGCCACUUAACUAACUCAGUUUAGGCUAAUCAAACUGGUAAUCCCUAGAUGCGCACCACUUAUAUUCCACUAUCACGAAGUGUAGGAUAAGUUGUAGUAAAUACAAAUAUAACCACCAUAUAUUUCAAGAGCAUCUCAAAAGGCAGAAGACAAAUUGAAUAAAACAUUUAACUUCAUUGUGCUUAGAUGACACGGAGGUAAAUUGUUACUAGCCAUAAAAGUAGUCCCUCCAUUGUUCUCUUUUGGUUCUCUGAGUCUGUUCUAUUACUGAGUGAUGAGUCACCCAAUACUAGUCUACAGAGGGGUUUGUAUGCAAGUUAGGGAUUCUGCAAUGUGAGGAUCGGAAACACAAAGGACUGGAUGCCACUUGCCAAAGCUUGGCCUCAAGAGGAAUGUUAUCCCAACAAAAGAAACAAAGGAUGAGGAGUGCCACUCAGACCGACAGGCUUCCCUACUGGGACGAGUGGGCAUCUCGACGAGAUAAGCCUGGAAUGAGGAUUGACUAGUAGGUAAAAUUGGUCUUGAUGAUAGUUGAUCGAGAGAUAAGGUUAUCUCACAGAACCACUAUUCACAAGGAACAACUAGACUUGGCCAAGGACAUGGUUGAGAGAAAGAGAGAAACUUAAACAGGAGACAUCACUGUUAACAACUUAGGCUUGGUUAGGAAAGCUUUAAGAAUGAUGAAGAGGAUGGGUCGUUACAUUUCCAAUAAGUUGGAAAAUUCUUAACAAGCCAUGCUUGCCUUUUGUUUUUUAAAAAAAAUCAAGGACAUAUUUAACCUCUCUUCCGAAGACAACAUUUGACAAAGCUGUAGACGUAUUAGUACGAUCUCACCAACAAUUUAAUCUCUUUAUAGGCAAGACAUCCUUUUAUUUGUUUUUUAAGUUACUAGGAGCAUUGGUCCAUCACCAUGUAAGAACUUGGGUGGGCAUCCAUGUUUACCGCAUGCUCAAGCAUAAUUAAGGUUGUUCGAGUAGUCUCUGCGUACAACUAUUGAGUCAGGCUCGGUCCCUUGCUGGAAAAUACCUAGUGCAACACUAGAGUAUCCCAAAUUGGAUGGAACUCCAGCAGUUGCUCCUCACACGGAGGUGUAAUCACCGCACUACAAAUGUGAUUAUUUUCUCCCGAUGGUACACACAUACAAAUAUUGAAAUAUAUAGUUGUGGGGUGUUUGGUCUGUGGAACCAUCUCAACCUAGGUGAGAUAGUGCAUCACGAGUUCAGUUCAUGAUUUUGGUGGAACGACCCUAUUCCUUAUGCUUGUACUAUUUGUUACUCCCUCUAUUCAGAAAACAGUAACUGCAUUUGACUAGAGGGAAAAGUCAAACUUUACAAAUUGACUAGCCGUUAGUCAAACUAUAAGUAAAUUUAGGAUAUAACACUUGUAUCAAUAUAUUUUUUCAUAGUGCAUCUUAGAUGAUAAUUAUUUUAGCAAAUAAAUAUAUUAUAAGUGAAAUUGGGUUAAAAUAUAUUUUGUAUGACUCUUUUUUGGUCAAAUGGGCUUAUCAUUUCUGGAUGGAACACUAAGAGACACAGAGGCUUUGCCGAGUGUCUCUGGCACUCGGCAAAGGCCUAAAUACACUAGUCAAAUAUCAUCGAAGGAGUAGUUUGUAAGGGAUGAUUUAGAGAUAGACCACCUAUAAAACAGAAAUGAAAUGAGUGAGAAGAUGAUAAAUCAAUCCCUGCCUCAUCAAACAGUAGGAGUACUUGUUUACAUGCACACUGUUCUCGAUCAUCGAUGUCGUCCGUGACAUCAGACACGUAAAAGUGCUGGCAACUUGGCAUAUAUAUCAUCACAUAGGAAAAACACGUCAUUAUUGAGCACUUACACAUUCGCAUGACAACAAAAUAACCAAGUGCAAACGAACAGUUACACGAGAGAUCAAGAGACGAAACAACGUUUCGUAAUUAUUGUUACCACGCGCAGCUCCUCAAAAGUUCCUUUUCGCAUCAGAUGGACAGCUCCGUCGUCGCCAUCUCCUCCCUCUUCUGCAGCGCGUUCGCCUCCAUCUUGCAGCACUUGCACGGCGGGCUCACUAUCGGCACCGCGCCGCGCGCAUGCGCGUGCCCAUUCUGAGGUCCCUUGGCGUGGGCGUCCGUCUUCCGCGCGAUGAUGACGGAGUUGAUGACCUCGUCGUCCGGGUGGUACACGGCGAGCACGUCGAACCCGCCGCGCCGGAUGUCCUCAGGGUCGACGAUCGGGUACAGGAACCCGCGAGCCCCGUGCGCGCUCCGCACGACGAGCGCCGCCCCGUCCGCCAUGUGCCUGCCAAGGUGCGCCACCACCUUGGCCUUGUCCUCGGCCGCCAUGCCGACGAGGGCGGCCAGGAACACCACGUCGUACUUGCCGAGGCCGUCCGUGAGGCUGGCGACGUCGGCGGUGUGGAAGGACAUUCGCUUCCGCAGGCCCUCGUCCGCGCGGACCAGCUUCCGGGCACGGUCGUUGGCGGCGCCGCACCGGUCGUAGUUGUCGAACAGCGCGUUCGGCAGGUGGCGCGCGGCGAGCACGAGCGAGCUGAACGGCAGGGGGCCUGACCCGACGAAGGCGACGCGGGAAGGCGCCAGGCCCGGGACAUAGCGGACCAGGAGGUCGUACUCCAGCUUGCUCAGGUUGACGUAGUUGCUGAAGUAAGGGAAGCGGCCGAGGUGGUCGAGCGGGUUGUCGAAGCCGGCGAGCAUGUCGGCGUAGUGCGCCUCGAGGUGUCCCUCGGCGUCGGAGCAGAGGCGGAUGAGCUCCUCUCGCAUCCUCUGCGCGUCCGGGCCGAGCUUGGUCACGUCGACGGGGCUCGGUGGGACGCAGGCCAUGACGAGCUCGGUGAACAGCGCGUCGACGUCGGGGGACGGGCUCAGCGAUGGCAGCUUGGUGAUGGCGGCGUGCAGGCCGGUUAUCUUCUGCACCAGGGCAGAAACCUCCGUCUUUGCGUGGGCGUCGAUCUUGCGCGCGAUGAUGACAGAGUUGAUCACCUCGCCGUCCGGGUGGUACACCGUCAGAACGUCGAACCCGCCGCGACGGAUGUCCUCGGGAUCAACGAUGGGGUACAGAAACCCGCGAGCCCCGUGCGCGCUCCGCACGACGAGAGCCGCCCCGUCGGCCAUGUGCCUGCCAAGGUGCGCCACCACCUUGGCCUUGUCCUCGGCCGCCAUGCCGACGAGCGCCGCAAGGAAGACGACGUCGUACUUGCCGAGCUCGUCGGUCAGGUUGGCGACGUCCACCGUGUGGAAGGACAUGCGCGCGUUCAGGUCCUUGUCCGCACGGACCAGCUUCCGCGCACGGUCGUUGGCGGCGCCGCACCGGUCGUAGUUGUCGAACAGUGUGUUGGGCAGGUGGCGUGCGGCGAGCACGAGCGAGCUGAACGGCAAGGGACCUGACCCGACGAAGGCGACGCGGGAAGGCGCGAGCCCUGGGAUGUAGCGGACCAGAAGGUCGUACUCGAGCUUGCUCAGGUUGAUGUAGUUGCUGAAGUACGGGAAGCGACCGAGGUGGUCGAGCGGGUUGUCGAAGCCGCCGAGCAUGUCGGCGUAGUGCGCCUCGAGGUGGCCCUCGGCGUCGGAGCAGAGGCGGAUGAGCUCCUCCCGCAUCCUCUGGGCGUCCGGGCUGAGCUUGGUCACGUCGACGGGGCUCGGCGG